CCUACGGGUGGCUGCAGUGAGGAAUAUUGGUCAAUGGGCGGGAGCCUGAACCAGCCAAGUCGCUUGAGGGAAGACGGUCCUAUGGAUUGUAAACCUCUUUAGGCGGGGAGCAAUGCCGGGCACGUGUGCCCGGAGGGAGAGUACCCGCAGAAUAAGCAUCGGCUAACUCCGUGCCAGCGGCCGCGGUAAUACGGAGGAUGCGAGCGUUAUCCGGAUUGAUUGGGUUUAAAGGGUGCGUAGGCGGAUUUUUAAGUCAGCGGUAAAAUGUCUGGGCGCAACCCGGGACGGCCGUGGAAACUGGGGAGCUUGAGUGGGCGAGAAGUAUGCGGAAUGCGCAGGGUAGCGGUGAAAUGCUUAGAUAUUGCGCAGAACUCCGAUUGCGAAGGCAGCAUACCGGCGGCGAUCUGACGCUGAGGCACGAAAGCGUGGGUAUCGAACAGGAUUAGAUACCCGAGUAGUC
rnacentral:rRNA from 1 species